UUCUAGUCGCCAGGGCCAACGCUGCUGGAUUCAAGGAGCAGGUGGCUAUGAGAAGCAGGGCAAGGGGGCUGGCACCCCAAACUCACUUCCCUCCACGAAGGUAGACCUCUCACGCACACCUGGGAGCCGCCAUCCACACAGACUGCCUGUCCCAGGCAGGUUCUUCUCACCUGAACCGGGCGGAUCUACAGUCCUCUAGUCAGACUUAACCCGAAGCUGAAUCUGAUGGCCAGCAGGCAGCGCACUCACUUCCGGAGGGAGGCAGCCACCCGGCCUGGGUCCCCUGGCCCGGCAGCCCAGAAUGACAUCAGCCCUGUCUGGGCGAGGGGCGCGCGAACCAAGAAUGCAGGAGGGGCCUCCGGAGGUGAGGAAAUGCCAGCUCCGAGAGAUGGAUUCACUUGUCGGAGGUCACACAGCAAGAAGGUUAUCAAGAUUUGCUUGGAAUGGCCCCUCUGCACUGUUGUGUGCAGAUCUGACCCAAACCUGGCCCACUGUGAGGGCUCAAAAAUAUUGACUUUUCAAAUGCCAGGCCAAAUUCAAGGUUGAAAUCACAUCAGCUCAACUGCCUGGUGCGAUCUCCGCGCCACCCCUUGCUCUGUCCUGAGUAAAUAUUUGCUCUCUAGA